rnacentral:rRNA from 1 species
ACGGGUGAGUAAUGUCUGGGAAACUGCCCGAUGGAGGGGGAUAACUACUGGAAACGGUAGCUAAUACCGCAUAACGUCUUCGGACCAAAGUGGGGGACCUUCGGGCCUCACACCAUCGGAUGUGCCCAGCUGGGAUUAGCUGGUAGGUGAGGUAACGGCUCACCUAGGCGACGAUCCCUAGCUGGUCUGAGAGGAUGACCAGCCACACUGGAACUGAGACACGGUCCAGACUCCUACGGGAGGCAGCAGUGGGGAAUAUUGCACAAUGGGCGCAAGCCUGAUGCAGCCAUGCCGCGUGUAUGAAGAAGGCCUUCGGGUUGUAAAGUACUUUCAGCGGGGAGGAAGGCGAUGCGGUUAAUAACCGCGUCGAUUGACGUUACCCGCAGAAGAAGCACCGGCUAACUCCGUGCCAGCAGCCGCGGUAAUACGGAGGGUGCAAGCGUUAAUCGGAAUUACUGGGCGUAAAGCGCACGCAGGCGGUCUGUCAAGUCGGAUGUGAAAUCCCCGGGCUUAACCUGGGAACUGCAUUCGAAACUGGCAGGCUUGAGUCUCGUAGAGGGGGGUAGAAUUCCAGGUGUAGC